AGUGAACGCUGGCGGUAUGCCUAACACAUGCAAGUCGAACGGCAGCACAGUAAGAGCUUGCUCUUACGGGUGGCGAGUGGCGGACGGGUGAGGAAUACAUCGGAAUCUACUUUUUCGUGGGGGAUAACGUAGGGAAACUUACGCUAAUACCGCAUACGACCUACGGGUGAAAGCAGGGGAUCUUCGGACCUUGCGCGAUUGAAUGAGCCGAUGUCGGAUUAGCUAGUUGGCGGGGUAAAGGCCCACCAAGGCGACGAUCCGUAGCUGGUCUGAGAGGAUGGCCGGCCUGAGUGGGAGUGAGGCCAGAUUGGGACUGCGACAGGAGGCAGAAGCGGAGAGGAGGGGACAGUGGGGGAUAUCGUGCUACAGCCAUACGGCGGAGGCGGAGAAGGCGCGUGGGUGAUAACGGCCUUCUGUUGGGAAAGACCAGUCGGACAUGAAGACGCCCUUGUGGUGACGGUAGUGAAAGAAGAAGCACCGGCUAACUUCGUG
rnacentral:rRNA from 1 species